rnacentral:rRNA from 1 species
AGCGAACGCUGGCGGCGUGCUUAACACAUGCAAGUCGAGCGAAGGUGUUUCAAGGGUAACCUUGAGAUACACUUAGCGGCGGACGGGUGAGUAAUACGUGGAUAACUUACCUCUAGGCCUGGGAUAACCCCGGGAACUGGGGCUAAUACCUGAUAAGACCACAUUGUCUACGGACAAAGGGGUAAAAGGUGGCUGUGCAAACAGCUAUCGCCAAAAGAUAGGUUCACGUCCCAUCAGGCAGUGGUGAGGUAAUGGCUCACCAAACCAAAGACGGGUAGCCGGCCUUGGCGGGUGAACGGCCACACGGGGACUGAGACACGGCCCCGACUCCUACGGGAGGCAGCAGUGGGGAAUAUUGGGCAAUGGGCGCAAGCCUGACCCAGCGACGUCGCGUUGGGGAAGAAGGCCUU